rnacentral:rRNA from 1 species
AAUGAACGUUGGCGGCAUGGAUUAGGCAUGCAAGUCGCGCGGGUGUAGCAAUACAUCAGCGGCGUAAGGGACAGGAACACGUAGACUACCUACCCUCGGGACCUGAAUAGCUGCGGGAAACUGCAGGUAAUGCGGGAUAAUGUCUCCGGACCAAAGGUGUGAUUCCGCCGGAGGAUGGGUCUGCGUCCUAUUAGCUUGUUGGUGAGGUAAUGGCUCACCAAGGCAAUGAUGGGUAGCAGGUGUGAGAGCACGACCUGCGUCACUGGGACUGAGAUACUGCCCAGACACCUACGGGAGGCUG